rnacentral:rRNA from 1 species
UGGGAACGUGCCCAAAGGUACGGAACAACUCCGGGAAACUGGAGCUAAUACCGUAUGUGCCCGAGAGGGGAAAGAUUUAUCGCCUUUGGAUCGGCCCGCGUCUGAUUAGCUAGUUGGUAGGGUAACGGCCCACCAAGGCGACGACGGGUAGCCGGCCUGAGAGGGCGACCGGCCACACUGGGACUGAGAUACGGCCCAGACUCCUACGGGAGGCAG